AAAAUCCAAAACUUGCAUUUAUUGUCUAGUUGGAAAGAUUACCGCUAGAUGCGUUGUUGCGUCAUGCGUGGAAAAAGCUUCUGCUAGAUACCUGCAGGCUGCAGUUGCACUAGCUCAGAGAACAAUAUAAACAAAAAAAGCAAGAAGAAUUAACUACAGUACCUGGAGAUGAAUCAAUUAGCUCUGCCGAGAUAAUUUCGAAAACGAAUUGCUAAUAAUGUGAGUGUUGUGAUGAGUGAAGAACAGUUUUCAGCCUUGAGUGAAGUCGUGCCGAUAUCUACACCAUCCCCAAUUCACCAAAAGAAAAUGUUGUGUCAUUUGUCGAAUCCGUUUCUGGCAAUCCAACAAAGAGCAAGAAAAACAAGAAAAGGUCACGAGAAACAUUACGCAAAACUGUCAAUGCUGUGUUGUAGAGGUUGCGUGAGAACGACACGUCACACGUGUUACAUCAUUAUCAAGCAGACCCAUCCCCAGCAACGUCAACCUGCAGAAGGAAAGGCCAGUUUGUAUGUCUUAAUGUCUUUCAAUCGAAGGUCAUGGAGAUCAUUACCUAAAACGUUUCCUGCAGUGGUGUAGAGGUUGGGUUAGAACGGGACGUUUUCCAUCAUUAUCAAAAAGGUAAAAUACCCACAAGGCUUGAGUUGAGAGGUAAGGGUGAGAAAAAGUCAUAUAAAAGGAGAGAGAAAAGGCGAUAGAGAUCAGUCGAGUUAGGAUCUCCGACACGGGAACAACCGCAGCACUAUUGGUCUCCAAUUGCCUUCUUCAUCAUUAUCACUGCAAUCAUGGUUAACUAUGACGCCGUGCUGCAGUUGGGUGUUGCAUCGUUGAUGUCGACCACGAGAGAAAACCAUACUGCAACAUACUCUGCUCCAUCUUAAAACAUGGUCAACUGUGGAUCGUGCUGCUGUUAGGUGUUGUAUCGUUGAUGGCUGGGGAGACCACGGGAGUACCGAUGUCUUCUGGGUAUGGUGGUACCAAACCGCAACGCCGCCGCUUUACUACACAACGAAGUCAACAUACGGAACAUCUAUUUCCCGAGGCCCCUAAAUACUACACCACCAAGGCUCUAACUACUACACCGAGGAUCUAACUUGUUACAUCACCGAAACGCCCAAGUACUGCACUACAAUCUACGUUGCCCCAGCUUACACCACGAAGGGAGCCGAGUACUACACCACGAAGGGAGCCGAGUACUACACCACGAAGGGAGCCGAGUACUACACCACGAAGGGAGCCGAGUACUACACCACGAAGGGAGCCGAGUACUACACCACGAAGGGAGCCGAGUACUACACCACGAAGGGAGCCGAGUACUACACCACCAUGUAUGCUGCCAUUUUACACCGAAGCUCCUGAGUAUUACACCAAAGAGGUUGCAUAUUACGCUUCAACCCGCGCUGCCCUCAGUUGCUAUCCCGAGGUUCCCGAGUACUACACCACCAAGGCACCCAAGUAUUACACCACAAACGCUUCCGGAUUUUACUACAAGGAGAUUCCUAAAUUGCUAGAGCCGAAAUAUCUAUUUUAUUUUAUUUAAAUUGGUUGGUUGACUUCAUGAUCAUUGGUCACUGGGAAUUAACUGUUGAUCUCAAAUGAGAAAAUAAAAAUUCUAAGAAGGGCGUCUAUUGGUGUUGGACUUCUUCAAGGCCAGUAUCCUGCGCUGUGAUACGUCUGUUUCAUAUUUUGGAGGUGAUUACUGCCUUAGUCACUCUACGUACGGACAUGUUCUUGUGUUUUGACGAUGGUACAAGGGUAAGUUACGAAAGAAACUUGUAACUGUUGGUAUUUUCAAAUCUUAUCAGUAAAAGGGAAGUGGUUGAUCUUGGUAUAAAUGAAAGACUUUGAAGUUGAGAUAAUUCCUAAACAAUACUUGGUAUAAAUUACUUGAUGUAAAUAAAAGACAAUGAACAAAA